rnacentral:rRNA from 1 species
AGGGACCUCGGGGGGCAGCAGUAGGGAAUCUUCCACAAUGGGCGAAAGCCUGAUGCAGCAACGCCGCGUGAAGGAAGACGGUUUUCGGAUUGUAAACUUCUGUUCUUAGUGAAGAAUGAUGACGGUAACUAAGGAGCAAGCCACGGCUAACUACGUGCCAGCAGCCGCGGUAAUACGUAGGUGGCAAGCGUUGUCCGGAAUUACUGGGUGUAAAGGGAGCGUAGGCGGGAAGCCAAGUCAGCUGUGAAAACUACGGGCUUAACCUGUAGACUGCAGUUGAAACUGGCUUUCUUGAGUGAAGUAGA